rnacentral:rRNA from 1 species
UACGGAGGAUCCAAGCGUUAUCCGGAUUUAUUGGGCCUAAAGCAUCCGUAGCCGGUUCUACAAGUCUUCCGUUAAAUCCACCUGCUUAACAGAUGGGCUGCGGAAGAUACUAUAGAGCUAGGAGGCGGGAGAGGCAAGCGGUACUCGAUGGGUAGGGGUAAAAUCCGUUGAUCCAUUGAAGACCACCAGUGGCGAAGGCGGCUUGCCAGAACGCGCUCGACGGUGAGGGAUGAAAGCUGGGGGAGCAAACCGG